AAAGCAAACCGAUAUGGUUGCCUCACUGUUUGAAUACAGCGAGGAGGAAAGUCCGAGCUCCAAAGGAUAAUGCAUCCCGGUAAUGCGGGAAUUCUUCAGUGAUCUAGCGUAUGGCGAAUAGCGUUUAGUAAUGAGAAUAUAAACUAUCCGCUAAAUGCUAUGCCCUAUUUUCUGGAGGAUGAUCAGAGCUACAGUGACGAUGUAGGCAUAAACGAUCUGUGAUCGUUUAUGCUUAAGUGAAACGAGCAAUCUCUGCAUGGAGCAAUGCCAAAUAGGAAGAGAAUUGAUGUGCAAUAGGUACUUAGUGCUUAUUGCAUGGAAUGCGAAUCGAUCCGGUUCGUUUGAAUCUUCGGGUAGGCUGCAAGAGUUUGAAAGAGUAAUCUUCAAAGUGAGUUGAAUAACCAUAGGUUUCUAAAGAGCAUUUUGUAUUUUUACCUUAAGUGUUAAAACAUGGACAAGCUAAAUAUAUGAAUGCUCAUGUGAUACUUACAGAACUCGGCUUAUCGGUUUGCUUUUAUA
rfam:Omnitrophica WOR_2 bacterium RIFOXYA2_FTLL_38_17 rifoxya2_full_scaffold_93, whole genome shotgun sequence.